rnacentral:rRNA from 1 species
UGAGGAAUAUUGGGCAAUGCCCGAAAGGGUGACCCAGCAACGCCGCGUGGAGGAUGAAGGUCGUAAGAUUGUAAACUCCUGUUAGAGGGGAAGAAUAACUAAGUUUGGAGCUUAGUAUGACUGUACCCUCAGAGAAAGCCCCGGCUAACUACGUGCCAGCAGCCGCGGUAAUACGUAGGGGGCAAGCGUUAAUCGGAAUUACUGGGCGUAAAGCGUGCGCAGGCGGUUUUGUAAGACAGAGGUGAAAUCCCCGGGCUCAGCCUAGGAACUGCCUUUGUUACUGCAAAGCUGGAGUGCGGCAGAGGGGGAUGGAAUUCCGCGUGUAGCAGUGAAAUGCGUAGAUAUGCGGAGGAACACCGAUGGCGAAGGCAAUCCCCUGGGCCUGCACUGACGCUCAUGCACGAAAGCGUGGGGAGCAAACA